rnacentral:rRNA from 1 species
UACGUAGGCAGCAAGCGUUGUUCGGAGUUACUGGGCGUAAAGGGUGUGUAGGCGGUUUUUUAAGUUUGGUGUGAAAUCUCCCGGCUCAACUGGGAGGGUGCGCCGAAUACUGAAAGACUAGAGUGCGGGAGAGGAAAGUGGAAUUCCCGGUGUAGCGGUGAAAUGCGUAGAUAUCAGGAGGAACACCGGUGGUGUAGACGGCUUUCUGGACCGUAACUGACGCUGAGACACGAAAGCGUGGGUAGCAAACAGG